CCUACGGGUGGCAGCAGUGAGGAAUAUUGGUCAAUGGGCGGAAGACUGAACCAGCCAAGUCGCGUGCAGGAUGACGGCACUGAGGGUUGUAAACCGCUUUUGUCAGGGAACAAAGAGCGUUACGUGUAGAGGUUUGCAUGUACCGGAUGAAAAAGGAACGGCUAAUUCCGUGCCAGCAGCCGCGGUAAUACGGAGGGUGCGGGCGUUAUCCGGAUUUAUUGGGGUUAAAGGGGGGGGAGGCCGCAUGUCAAGCGCGCUGGUAAAUGUCCGGGCCCAACCCCGGCCCCGCCGUGGAAACUGGCGGGCUUGAGUUGGCGAAAAGUAUGCGGAAUGCGCGGUGUAGCGGUGAAAUGCUUAGAUAUCACGCAGAACCCCGAUUGCGAAGGCAGCAUGCUGCAGCCGAACUGACGCUGAGGCACGAAAGCGCGGGUAUCGAACAGGAUUAGAUACCCGGGUAGUC
rnacentral:rRNA from 1 species